UAAAUUCUGAAACUUUGCGUCAAUGUAGCAAAUCAUAUGCCCCGUGCUUCCCGUUAAAAUGAAACUUUCAGAAUUAUUAAUGUAUUUAUCUAAACUAAUUUUAUGUUUGAAACUUUUGAGUCAUAUUGCUAUCUUUCUUUUUUUACAAAUAUUGCUAUUUUUACAAUUUUACAACUAGCUAAAUCUUAAUUAACUGAAAUAAAGUAUAACACAAAAGAUUAAAUAUUAUUCCCUCAAAAAAUUUAACUAAACUUUUUAUUAUAAAAUUUUACUCCGUAAAAAAAAUUAUAAAAUUUUAUUGAUGAACAUUUUAUUUUAUUUUGAAGGGUUUAUGUAAUAUAUUUAAUAUUAAAGUUUAUGCUUUGUAAUAUAUUUUAUAUUAUAUAUUUGCAAAUCAUAUGUCAUGUGCUCCCCGUGAGGUACACAGGUUAACACUCUUUAAUUAUGUUUAGUUUAGAAGUAGUGUUAGUUUUGCCAGUUAUUUGGGAAGUACUUUUUAUAUUGCUCAUUUAUGUUGAAGUCACGUGACAUUAGAAUAAGGACAAAAGCAAUAGAAUGGGAGAGGAUAAUAUCAAAAGCACGUGACGUGACAGAUAUUAUCCGUCACUAUUUGACUGGUUAGUUUGAUAAAAGCCGCCGUCAAACCCUAAGCAGCGGGGAGCCCCAGCCCCAGCCUCAAAUGGAAAACAAAGAAGCUAUUUCCAAAAAAAUCUUCAAGAGAGUUAAGAUAAUCCAUGACGCGCCGUUCAAAUGGGAAUCUGCUUAUUUAAGCGAUGCAAAAAUUAAAGAAAUCAAGCACCAAAAUAAAUUAAAUCGCAGAAUUCUGGAAAAUUUGAUGUGAAGAUUCAAAGAGCUACAGUAAAAGUCUUAAUUUUAACAAUAAUAUGAUUAUUUACAAGAGUUAGGAUCCGUUGACACGAAAUCUCAUCCCUCAAUCUAUUUAAUCCAAAGGCACAUAUUGUUGGUGUAGUGAACUCGUGUGAGCUUUUCUUUCAUUUAUUGAUUCUUUGUAUUUUUAACUGUUA